GCCCCGGUAGCUCAGGUGGAUAGAGCGUCCCCCUCCUAAGGGGAAGGUCCCACGUUCGAGUCGUGGUCGGGGCGCCA
rnacentral:tRNA from 1 species